ensembl:misc_RNA Metazoa_SRP Metazoan signal recognition particle RNA
GCCGGGCAUGGUAGAUCAUGCCUGUAAUCCCAACAUUCUGGGAGGCUGAGGCGGGAGAAUCACCUGAGGCCAGGAGUUCGAGACCAGCCUGGCCAACAUGGUGAAACCCCGUCUCUA